UUUUCGCUCCCAUCACCGCGCGAGGACUCCGCCCGCGCUACUCGCUACUACCGCUAUCGAUCCCCUUCCUGCCACUCCCCCGCGCCACCGAAUCUCCCUGACCUUCCACCGCCGCCGCGUCCUCCUCCUCCCCACGCACCGCCGCUGCAUGCCUCUCCUCCUCCCCAUCGCCUUCGUGUCGUCCUCCUUCCCACUCACCGCUGCUGCAUCGCCUUCUCCCCACCGCCACCGCGUCCUCCUCCUCCCCACCUCCUUCGUGUCCUUCUCCUCUCCAUCACCGUCCCCGAGUCCCCUUCGCGAGCGCAGCCGUCGUCGUCAGAUCCGCCGACUGGGUGAACUCGGCAACGGUGGUCCAGUGCUCGAUCCCCAACGCAUGUCGCGCCGUCCUGUCCACCGCCGCCGCGUCCGCCUCCCCAUCACCCGCCGCUUCUGUAGUUUCUAUAGCUGCUCCGUUGGUGUGCAGCCCACAAACCCUAGCAGCUAUCAGCGUGGCCGGCGACGGCGGGCCGGCAAGCGACGAUGCAGUGGCAACAACGGCAAGCAGCUGCCACGUGGCAGGCUGCAGCGGCUCGGCGGCGACAGCGAACAGCAAGGCACGAGCAGCAGGAGUGAGGGGGCGAGGAGCUAGCAUAUCAGGCCAUCCAUCCAUGAAGGGCAUCAGACAGCGAGGGGCGAGCAGCAGCAGCUAGCAGAACAAGUGAUCGCCUCUUCCUUCUCAGUCCACAUGCAGAGACAAUGGAGGGUGAGGGAGAAGGCCACAGUGCUGUCGCCUAUGCUGCCAUGCUUCUGUCGACUGUCGGACUCCAUCGUAAAGUGGGGAGCGGACUGAGAAUCUGAGAUGAUGUACUCCAUUGCCGAUAGCCCGCUCACCUCGCCUCUACCGCCAAUCCCCUCCCUCACUGCUCACCUCCUGCUCUACCAUGUGACCUGGUGCUUUCUCUACUGUCGCCUGCUCCCCCCCUCAUAUUGGUCAAUGCAAAGGUGCACUAAUAAUCCCUUUGUUUUAGAGAUUUAAUUGAGUUUUAUGUUUCGGAUGCUCCAGCUUUCUACCAGAAGUACAGAACACACAUACAUCAGCAUGAAGAUGAGAUGAUUCAGGUUGUUGAAUUGCUUUGCUAUCAUCUUCAUAUAUUUGUUUUUCCAAGAAGGGCAGCAGGUCACAGCUGUUGAUGCGGCCGCCUUUGGUGGUGUUCACAGUUCUUGAACUGCAGGAGUAAUCGGUUUGCUAACACAGACCUGAUCUCAAGGUGCUAUGCAGCUUCCAGUGAAUGUAUUGUCUUUCCAUGAUCUGCACAUCCACCUUGGCAACUCUUUGCUUCCCAAAAUUGAUUGCAUGUGUUGCAUAUUUUUGCCGAUGCAGAAAUCAGAUGUUUUUAAUGUUGUAUGUCCUGACGGUUUGGCAACAAAUAUAUCCCCAGUAUAUUUUUGAGAACUAUCCUCAGUAUCUCACGGUAUUAUUUCAUUUGCACUCUAAAUGAAGAAUUAUAAAUGCAAUUUUCAAUUUGAUUUACCUUUGUACAUGAUUCAAGAUUCAGUGCAGCAGCUGUAGUCUUCAUCCCCAUAUUAGAAAGAGUGUAUCUUAACGGUGAGGUAUAAUCCUAACGUUAUACAUUAUGCUUUCAUUUGCUCACAAUAAAACUUAAAUGACGUUCAAUAUAAGUUCACAUAUUGUUCUAAAAGUUUUGUUUUGCAGAUUGGUAAAAUUCACUCAUAUAUGUUGUCAGUUAGCUCAUGUCCUAUUGAUGCAAAUUUUGUUGUUCUCCUCUCUCUGCUUGGCCUCGGCUCACUCACAAACACCUCCUGUACCUUGCCCAUUCCUCUGCAACUUAAUUUACACUUGAGGGCCAUGUGAUGGUCCCUGGCACCUGUGUCUUUUUUUUUUCUCCAACACUGUCCAUGCGUGCCUAAAUACUGCAUCCAUGAACAACAAAAAUGUGUGUGCAACACACCAAUGGGAAUGAUUCUAUAAUUGCUUAUUAUUUAGUUUGAAUCAGUUUCAAACAUCCCAUUUGGUUUAAGCAGAUAAUUUUCUUUGCUAAGCUUGUACGAUUUGAGAAAUCUCUACGCAAUCAUCUUAUUUAUCUACUUUUUUAAUUACAAUUGACAGAUUUGCAACAACAGAAGAGGAAGAGAGAUUUGUAACUAUCCACAAUGCCAUUUGAGGGUGAAGUGUGGAAGACCAAAGCUACUUGGGGAAUAUAUGAGGAAGAUAAUUAUUAUAAUCCUUUGUAUUUGGAAGUGAUCAGUGGUUGAUUUUUUGCGUCAAAGUAUUUCAUAUCAUACUGAAAUAUUAAAAUGUCUUGAUUUUUUUGGGUUUUGAUUUGAUGUAAAAUAACAACAUAUGAAUUUUCUGAUUUGCUAUUAAAUCAAAUGAGAUGUUUUUCCACUGGUUUGUGGUAAUCAA